rnacentral:rRNA from 1 species
GAUGAACGCUGGCGGCGUGCCUAAUACAUGCAAGUCGAGCGAACAGACGAGGAGCUUGCUCCUCUGACGUUAGCGGCGGACGGGUGAGUAACACGUGGAUAACCUACCUAUAAGACUGGGAUAACUUCGGGAAACCGGAGCUAAUACCGGAUAAUAUAUUGAACCGCAUGGUUCAAUAGUGAAAGACGGUUUUGCUGUCACUUAUAGAUGGAUCCGCGCCGCAUUAGCUAGUUGGUAAGGUAACGGCUUACCAAGGCAACGAUGCGUAGCCGACCUGAGAGGGUGAUCGGCCACACUGGAACGGAGACACGGUCCAGACUCCUACGGGAGGCAGCAGUAGGGAAUCCUCCGCAAUGGGCGAAAGCCUGACGGAGCAACGCCGCGUGAGUGAUGAAGGUCUUCGGAUCGUAAAACUCUGUUAUUAGGGAAGAACAAAUGUGUAAGUAACUAUGCACGUCUUGACGGUACCUAAUCAGAAAGCCACGGCUAACUACGUG